CGAACGAACGCUGGCGGCAGGCCUAACACAUGCAAGUCGAACGCCCCGCAAGGGGAGUGGCAGACGGGUGAGUAACACGUGGGAACAUGCCCUUUGGUUUGGGAUAACUCAGGGAAACUUGAGCUAAUACCGGAUAAGCCCGAGAGGGGAAAGAUUUAUCGCCGAAGGAUUGGCCCGCGUCCGAUUAGCUAGUUGGUGAGGUAUUGGCUCACCAAGGCGACGAUCGGUAGCUGGUCUGAGAGGAUGAUCAGCCACACUGGGACUGAGACACGGCCCAGACUCCUACGGGAGCAGCAGUGGGGAAUAUUGGACAAUGGGCGCAAGCCUGAUCCAGCCAUGCCGCGUGAGUGAUGAAGGCCCUAGGGUUGUAAAGCUCUUUCGCCAGGGACGAUAAUGACGUACCUGGAUAAGAAGCCCGCUAACUUCGUGCCAGCAGCCGAC
rnacentral:rRNA from 1 species